AGAAACUAUCCAUUUUCCCCACGUCUCUCUUUUCUCAUCUUCACCUCUUCCUUUUUUUUUCGGACCGACCUACAGCCGCCACCGGCGAAGACCAUAUGCCAGGCCGCCGUUUGCUUCACCGGCCGCCUGCACCUCUCCGCUCGGCCGAGCCGCAGCCGAUGAAGGCUCUACGGCAUGCCGUUCUUGGCUCCACCGGGCGUUGCCGAUCUUCGCUCCACCGGGCGUUGCCGAUCUUCGCUCCACCAGGGGCUGCCGCUUCUCCAACUCCAUCUCCGCGUCCGACCAGUACGGCCAUACGGCAGGCCAUCCUUCUAUCCAUACGCAGGCAGUGCGUCUCCGCCUUCCUGCAACUAUGGUCAAGCGGCGGUACGGCGCACGUGUAAAGGUCGACCUCUUCUGCGUCGCCUUCUCCCCUUCCAUGUAGUCGUCCGUGCCCGCCCAGGGGCGCGCGUUCAAGGCAGGGUUGUUCUGUGUGGUUUGUGCUUUGUCUGAUGUCAAAGCUUGGAGACCAUGAAUCUAGCAAGGCAAGCAGCCGGAAUCGGCAAGACGUCCUUCCGUGGGAUCCCCUCCUUCCGUAGUUCCAAGAAUGUCUGAAUCGGUAAGGUGAAUUCUUGCUGACUCUAAUUGUGUAUCCUUUUCAACCUCUAUAUCUUUUUCCCUUUAUCUUUUUAUUUCUGAUCUCCUCACCGUAUUAUGCAACGGCCACUCUCUAUUUGCAUUACUACAUGUUCUUAAAACCAAUGAUUGCAGGCAGAUUGGAAUAGUAAGGAAGCACACGGUAGCACUUAUACAAGCUUGAUUUUAUUGAUGUCGACGCGAGGUACACCCUCGAAAAUUCAAACAAUUUGUUUGCUCUCGCCCCCUGUUAUAAACCACUUGAAUUGUUGGAACCAAUAUGUAGCCUCCUUUUUUCAAACAAAUAUAUUAUUAUCUGAGUAUCUCCAUUGGUGUAAUUAAACUUCACAGAUGUCAGACUUCUUUUCACUACUAUAAUGCUACACUUCUAUACUUAUCCUAAUCUCAUUCAUCUAUGAAUAGAUCAACAUUUACUUGCUCCAUCUUUCUAAGAUACGGGAAAUUAGACAUGGUAAUAAUCUGGUAAAGGAUUAAUGAUAAAUGGUUGGUCGAUCUGAUUUGUGGAUUGUAUCUGUCCUGAUUUGUUUUUCUUUUCAUAUUUCAGUUAGCAGACUACAGUCCCAAUGGUUGCAUUUAGUGCUUCAAGAUUGUUUCGGAUAAAGUGCUGCUGAGUGUAGGUUGGCAGAGAACCCCGAAUCAAGACAAAAUGUUUUAUACACUAUUUUCAAAUAUUGUUUCGAUAGAAUGGGCUUCAGCACUUGAUUUUGGAAGCACUGAGGACAAUAUCUGCCAGUGAUGUUUCCUUGAAAUGUCAAAUGAACUUGAUCAAUCGAGACCUAUGUUACAGGUUGGUCUGCAUAAUUUUGUUCAGCUUUGUAUAUAUAGAUUGGGUGUUUCUUUUCAACUAAUGUGCAAUAUAUUUGGUGCUUUCAGCUGUGGAAAGUAGGAAAGGUUGUAUCGCUCCUUCCACUCAGGUGGUUGGGUCUGGGUAGGCUGCUGUCAACGUUUGGUUCAUACUAAUGAACGAUAGCGAUGAGUCAGGUUUUGGGUGCUCUGUGCUGUUGAGUACUCCGAGAUGACCAUCCUGGCAUUGAUAACAAGAGAAUGUGCUUGCAAAUAUUUCUGUUUGCUGUUACCGCAAGAGAAGGUUAAUACUACAUAAUCGAUUUAGAUUUGUUACUUUGCCCUGCAGUCUCGAAUGCUCCUGCCAAUAUUUUUCUCAUAGCCAGUUGAAGGAGUUUCCUUGAUAACUGUGUUUUUAUCUAACGAUAUGGUGGCCUAAUCGGAUCAAUGACAGCAAGAGUUGCACAGGUAACACAACAUCCACACACACACUGAAAUGGAUAUUAGUUAGUCGGCGUUGUCAUGUACAAAUCAAUACUUCCCACUUUACUGGCAUAUAGAAUUAUAUGUAUUUGUUAGAGUGGUGUCUUCCUUAAACAAAAAAUACAUGUGAAAUGGGGUAUUAUAAUUCUAUGUUGUGAUAUAUCGAUCUAGAAAUGUAGGUUUAUUUUUCCCUUUCUAAUUUAGUAUAGAGCUAUAGAUGAAGGUUCUCCUAUCAAGUCAAUAUUUCUGUAGCCUACCCGCAUGCUACCCUCAGGACAAUCCCAAUAGGAAAUUUCCAUAAUAGGUACCUUUUCAUCGUCAGUUCAGUAUCGUUGCCACUAGGCGUAUGACGUAGAAGAAGGUUCAGGUCGGUGACAUUCAACGCAUUAGCAAAACCUUAUAAGAAACAACUUACUGUUUUGAGGAUUAUCUGUUCUGGUGUUUCUGCACAGGUUUGGUUGGUCUGAUGGUCAGCUUAUACUAAAAACAUAAUUAGAAGUGCUUUAGUCGUCAUUGAAAAUAAUAUUUUUUCUUCUAAAUCUAAAAGCUAUAAAAUUUUGUCUCACGUUGAAUGUAAGUUUUGCCACAGUAUCUACUGCUAUUAGAUGUUUUCAAUGCAUAGGACUCCAGACUUUUUGCUGGACAUUAUCUUGUGUGGCCCAAGGCGAAAACGAGGAAGUUUAUCUGUGGCUCUUCUGCUUCAUUUUUCUUCCUACUGAUCUAUUAUCCUUGGGUGCAGACGUGCAGUGUCGCGGAUUUAAUUUAUAGAAAUCGCAGGCCAAUUGCUUUUGUUUUGCUGAUCAUAUUCUUCUACUGAAAGUGCAGUACCUCAUAUUAGUCGCAAUCGAAUUGAGUAUGUUCUGGUUGCAGGUCACAUUCUUUUAUUGAAAGUGGAGCAGCUAAUAUAAGUCGCAACAUGUUGGGACUUAGGAGUAAUCAGUGAUCAAGUUUCUUAUGAUCUUAUUCUAAUGUAGAUGACAAUUUAUGUUCUGCCUGCUGCUACAAGGGGAUUUUACACAUACGAAGUUUUUGGCCUGCGCAUAUGAUGUAGCAGUCCUCCAGUUUUGAAUUUUUGCAGCUAUAUGUGUAUGCUUAUGGACUGAUUUUAUUCUCAGUUAAUGUUGAUGAUCCA